CAACUAGGAAGGCUCUGAUACUAUGCAAAGAAAAUGGACCAGGCAUAGCUCACUCUUAAAACCUAACUCAAUCUCAAAACCUAACUCAAGAGGGAAGGAUUGCUCAAAUCUUUAUAAGGUGCACAUUACUCACAUACAUAACCAAUAUGAGAUACUUAACAAAAAUGUAUCAAAAAAUUAGCAUAACUUUUGAAUAUAAUGAAUUAAAUCCUAAGCUAGGCUGCAG
rnacentral:misc_RNA from 1 species